AGAGUUUGAUCCUGGCUCAGGAUGAACGCUGGCGGCGUGCCUAACACAUGCAAGUCGAACGGUUAAACCGCCCUCGGGCGGACAUACAGUGGCGAACGGGUGAGUAACACGUGACCAACCUGCCCCGCGCUCCGGGACAACCGCUGGAAACGGCGGCUAAUACCGGAUACUCCGCGGCCCCCGCAUGGGGGCGGCGGGAAAGCCCCGACGGCGCGGGAGGGGGUCGCGGCCCAUUAGGUAGUAGGCGGGGUAGAGGCCCACCUAGCCGACGAUGGGUAGCCGGACUGAGAGGUCGAUCGGCCACAUUGGGACUGAGAUACGGCCCAGACUCCUACGGGAGGCAGCAGUGGGGAAUUUUGCGCAAUGGGGGAAACCCUGACGCAGCAACGCCGCGUGCGGGACGAAGGCCCUCGGGUCGUAAACCGCUUUCAGCAGGGAAGACUUUACGACGGUACCUGCAGAAGAAGCUCCGGCUAACUACGUGCCAGCAGCCGCGGUAAUACGUAGGGGGCGAGCGUUAUCCGGAUUCAUUGGGCGUAAAGCGCGCGUAGGCGGCCGCCUAAGCGGAACCUCUAACCCCGGGGCUCAACCUCGGGCCGGGUUCCGGACUGGGCGGCUCGAGUGCGGUAGAGGAGAGCGGAAUUCCCGGUGUAGCGGUGGAAUGCGCAGAUAUCGGGAAGAACACCGAUGGCGAAGGCAGCUCUCUGAGCCGUCACUGACGCUGAGGCGCGAAAGCUGGGGGAGCGAACAGGAUUAGAUACCCUGGUAGUCCCAGCCGUAAACGAUGGAUACUAGGUGUGGGGGGAUCCCCCCUCCGUGCCGCAGCCAACGCAUUAAGUAUCCCGCCUGGGGAGUACGGCCGCAAGGCUAAAACUCAAAGGAAUUGACGGGGGCCCGCACAAGCAGCGGAGCAUGUGGCUUAAUUCGAAGCAACGCGAAGAACCUUACCAGGGCUUGACAUGCGCCUGAAGCCGCGGAGACGCGGUGGCCGAGAGGAGGGCGCGCAGGUGGUGCAUGGCUGUCGUCAGCUCGUGUCGUGAGAUGUUGGGUUAAGUCCCGCAACGAGCGCAACCCCCGUCCCGUGUUGCCAGCAUUAGGUUGGGGACUCGCGGGAGACUGCCGGCGUCAAGCCGGAGGAAGGUGGGGACGACGUCAAGUCAUCAUGCCCCUUAUGCCCUGGGCUGCACACGUGCUACAAUGGCCGGUACAGAGGGUUGCCACCCCGCGAGGGGGAGCGGAUCCCGGAAAGCCGGCCCCAGUUCGGAUCGCAGGCUGCAACCCGCCUGCGUGAAGCCGGAGUUGCUAGUAAUCGCGGAUCAGCACGCCGCGGUGAAUACGUUCCCGGGCCUUGUACACACCGCCCGUCAAG
rnacentral:rRNA from 1 species